GUUUUCCUGUCCUCUUACCCCCUACCUUUGGAACACAGAAAAUGGCUUAUGCUUUGUGGCUGUGUGGAAAAGGUGUGGUGACCAGCCCGAAGUGAACAGAAAGCAAGAGAUGCAGCAGGCACACAGAGGACUGCAAAGUGAAUGUCUGUGGCAGACAGAACAGGCUGGGAGACGGGUUUGGAUUACACCAUGUUUGAAUCAGAAUAGGUGUGAGAUGAACAGAAGUUAGUAAGCUCAGCCCAGUAGAGAAGGGUGGAAGUGCUGAGG